rnacentral:misc_RNA from 1 species
AACGCAUAUUGCGCUCUCUGGUAUUCCGGAGAGCAUGCUUGUUUGAGUAUCAGUAAACACCUCAAGUCAAGAGAGCUUUUUUGAGUUCUUCGAGACUUGGAUUUGAGCGAUCCUAACCUUUUUAUAUUUAUAAAAAGAGCAGGUUGCUUGAAAUUCAGGUGCAGCUAGGCUUUAUCUUCUGAGCUAUAAGCAUAAUUUAUUUAGUCUUGAUUGACUAUUACUUUUGCUGCAGCUUACAUAAAGGUUGAUUAUUGCCCAAAGUUGGCUGACUGAUGCAGGACUUUAUCAGAGUAGCGCAAGCUUUCUGUUAAACUCGAUCUCAAAUCAAGUAAGACUACCCGCUGAACUUAA